rnacentral:rRNA from 1 species
CAGGAUUAGAUACCCUGGUAGUCCACGCCGUAAACGAUGAGUGCUAGGUGUCGGGGGUUCACACCCUCGGUGCCGGAGUUAACGCAUUAAGCACUCCGCCUGGGGAGUACGGUCGCAAGACUGAAACUCAAAGGAAUUGACGGGGACCCGCACAAGCAGCGGAGCAUGUGGUUUAAUUCGAAGCAACGCGAAGAACCUUACCAGGACUUGACAUCCCUGUGACCGAUCCUUAAUCGGAUCUUUCCCUUCGGGGACAGAGGAGACAGGUGGUGCAUGGUUGUCGUCAGCUCGUGUCGUGAGAUGUUGGGUUAAGUCCCGCAACGAGCGCAACCCUUGUCUUUAGUUGCCAGCACGUAAUGGUGGGCACUCUAGAGAGACUGCCGGUGACAAACCGGAGGAAGGUGGGGAUGACGUCAAAUCAUCAUGCCCCUUAUGUUCUGGGCUACACACGUGCUACAAUGGCUGGUACAACGGGAAGCCAAGGAGUAAUCUGGAGCGAAUCCCAAAAAGCCAGUCCCAGUUCGGAUUGUGGGCUGCAACUCGCCCACAUGAAGUUGGAGUUGCUAGUAAUCGCGGAUCAGAAUGUCGCGGUGAAUGCGUUCCCGGGUCUUGUACACACCGCCCGUCACACCACGGGAGCUUAGGGCACCCGAAGUCAGCUAUCUAACCGCAAGGAGGAAGCUGCCGAAGGUGAAAUGAGUGACUGGGGUGAAGUCGUAACAAGGUAGCCGUAUCGGAAGGUGCGGCUG